UCUCUCUCUCUCUCUCUCUCUCUCUCUCUCUCUCUCUCUACAAUUUUUAUUUGGUGCAUCCUCUAGGAGCUGAAGCUGCCAGCAUGAUCUGACGUGUGUUUAGCUAGUUGUCCACAGAAGUGAUGACUGCUAACGAUCAGAUCAUGCUUUGCAGUUUCAUCUGCUCGUGGGUGCACAACAGAGAUACUUCGUCGGUGUGCAAGGGUAAUUCACAAAUUUCUCUCGCAACAGAUGAUUCUUUCGUGCUUUUCCGUAGUUUCUUGGAGUUUCAUGGUGUCUGGCGGCCGAGCAUCAAUCGGAACACCAAACAGACAAUUCGAAUUUCAGGUGAAAUGAACAGCACAGAUACCUUCUUUUCAAUUUCGAUUUCAUCCUUCCAUGGCUUGCAUUGUUGAUGCCCUGAAGCUAUCUUCCCCAGCUACUUUUCCUGCUUCACUUAUAUGACUUGGAGAUUUCUUUUCUUUUUUUUAGACCAAUAUGACUUGGAGGUUUUUGUAGUGGUAUUAUUAUUGUGUCUUAGAUUGCUCUCAAGAAGCUAUGCAUGAGAUCAUUAAUUGGAGUGAAACCUGUUCUUUCUUGGAGCCGGAUAUGUCAGUCUACUUUGAGUCUCUGAUGCAAGGAGAAGGAUGCUCAAUUGAGAAGUGAAUUGAUUCAUGACGAAGAAGUAUUUAUUUUCAACAAAUCGUAUACUUUUCAGGAUUUGCAAACAUAUUUUGAGAUGCCAACACACCUGCAUAUUUCAUUUGAUUGUGUACAUGCUAGUAGCUACCUGAAUCCAUGUACCUUUUUCUCCAUUCUUUAUCAUCAGUGACAUCACUAAUUUAAUGACAUGCACAUAUAUAAAAAUAUAAACCAGCCCAUUUUUUAGUUAAAUAGAGGAUCUAAUAAUCAAAUAGCAAUGAGAUUGAUUGAUUAGUCGCUUGAUUGGUGUGUGUACAACAUUAGAUUCUCUGUCCCUUUCUACUACAGCCGAAAGUUGGGUGUACUCUUAAUAUCCCAUAAUGCCAGUCCUACUCAGUGCCAUGUGAAGGAGAUCCGUGACAGAUUGGUAGCAUAGAUAAAAUAAAGAUUAUAAAUAUGGAGAGGAGAUCAUCAAUCAAAACACUGACUGAUGAUUGUGGCAACGGUAGCUCACGUACAAGCGUACCGCAUACGGCUACUAACACUCCUUGCAAUUAUUAUUUGUAGCGUCUUAAUCAUCGUCCAAGUCUAGUAAAUGAUCAUGCAUGAGAGUACUUUUCGCAAUUGUCCGAUCUCUAUCUUCGAGAGAUCAAAAUGGGCAGAUAAUUCUAAUGGUUCCAGUUACUCCAUUCCUUCCUAAAUCAUGAAUUCCAGGGGUGGCAUUUGUUCCCUAAAUAUAGAAAUAAAGUAAUAGUAUUCUUGAAAAGAUUUUCAGAUACCUAAUGGAGUUUAUAUAUAUGUUCCUUAUGGAACUCUCGCAGUUUGAACUGACCCUAGGUAAUCUAGGAGAUUCAAGUUGCUAAGAGUCACAGAUAUAUCAUCAGUAGAAAUCUCAUGUACACGAAGAAAUUAUUGUGGUGACGGUAGCUCAUCACGUACUGCAUACGGCUACUACCUACUUGCAAUUAUUUGCAGUGUCUCGGAAAAAUACGUGAGAAUACUGCCAUUACACCAUACUUUUUGCAAUUGUCUAGACUAGAGAAAAGGCCAGUGAUUUCUAAUGGUGGCGGUUCAUUCUUUCCUAAUUCAAUUACGACCUCUGGAGUUCGCAUUUUUCCGUUAAUUAUUAAGUAUUUUCUUUAAAACAUUUUUUCAUAUUUCCGCUGUAAUUUAAUACCAUCAGUACCUAUUUCAUAUGCUUGAAGACAGCUAGGUUAGUUUGUUGGAGGAACUGCCUUCAUUCAACUGUUUUUUCUUCUUCCAAAUGAUCAUUAGCUGAUUAGCAUAUUUUAAGUUGUAAAAUUAAAUUACGGCCAUUUCUAUAUAUGGUGUCCUAAAAAGAAAUCGUAUGUGGCCGGCCACUUGAGAGUUUGAUGUUGCUUUCGUCGUGACACGAAAGUCCAGCUCACACACUGUAAUUUGAGCAUGCAUUGCUAUGUCGUAUGCUUGACCUUUUCCCUAUAUUGGAACCUAACCUUUUUCAUCCAUGGGUGAGCAUAAUAUGUAACCUAGUCAAGCAAGCAAGAAUGCUCCAAAUUAGUAAACAAUCUUCUCACUUUGCGGCGAUUAGGAAUGCGUGUUUAGUCUUUGCCUGCCAUUAAGCUUGACACUGAUGGACAUAGUGGCCCAAGCUGAUUGAGCUGUUAUUUCAAUCUAUUCAUGCAUAUAGUAGUAUAUGCAUGAAGGAAAUUUUCACGCACAACACAACCCAUUUGCACAAGGCAAAGUGUAAAGCUGCUAGCCACAGUUACUCUCUAUCAACUUAAUUGUUCGCCACACCUUAAUCAGGUUUCCCAAGCAUAAUUCGUCCAUUACAGCCAAUGCAAGUAAUACAGGUGGCCUUUUUUCAAUUCACUAGGAAUCUUCAACAAUCGAUGCUAGACGUGGCUAGUUUCAACAAAAUUUCAUCCGAAAGGUUUUAUGAUUCACAAAAAUUUCAUCUGAAUCUAAGCUGUAAAGAGGUAUCGUCAUAGUUUUGGAGAGAUUUAUUCCAGGUUGUAAGGACAGCAGCCAGCAGCCCAGAACCCAGCAGAAAUUUCAGAAUUGAGUCCCAAAUUCUGAAAUUUCUCCUGUUCCAUAGUCCAUAGACUCCCCUCUUAUUUGGCAUUUAGCAGGGUGACAACUACAUACCCUGCAUCAGCUGAUAUCUCAUCUAGAGCGAAAUCAUAUGCCCAUUUCUAUAUGUUAUUUGCGCACCGCUCGGCGCCCUUUGACGCUAUCCACGAUAGUAAAAAAACCGUGGUCCACGCGAUGUCCAUCCAAUGGCCCGUGGUGCUGCUCUCUCCCCCUCCUCCCCUGGCAUUAGCUGGAACCUUCUCGUGUCCUGCUGCCCCCUCUCUAGGACGUGUUUGGAACGGUGGUUGUGGCCAGCCCAGCCCAGCAACCAGGCCAAGGCCAGCCAGAGCCUGGUGGCAACGGGCCACCCAUUCUUGUUUGGUGCAGUGGCCCAACCUAGCCUGGACGUCCUCAGGUGUGGUGUUGUUUGGAGAGCGCCUGGGAGCCGGGCUGGCAGCCCAACUGCCACGGGCCGCCAACCGAAAUUGCACCCAAAUCAUCCGCCUUACGCCGCGUGGAGCCGGGCUCCCCAGCUACUACGGUAUUUUUUCGCGUACGAGUGAAGCCAGGCUGAGGGGGAGGCUGUGGCCCUCAUAGGCCGGGCUGAGAGAAGGCAAAAUAGAUCCAAACACGUUACUGAGCUCCGGAGUGCAGCCGAACCCACGGGCCACCCUAUCAAACACGCCCCUAUUCGCUUGCAUGGUGAAGGUGGUGAUGGCAGCGGCCAUAGCUGCUCCCUCCGCCGCCCGGCCAUCUCCACUUCUGCUUCCACCUUGGGCUCUUUCUCCGGCGCCCCUUUCUCCCCCGCCCGGGCUGCCAAGCUAGUGUUGUGUUCCCCCCGCUGGUGCGCCGGCCCUGGCAGCAGGCGGCCACUCCCGAUCUCAUCAUCCUCGUGCUUCCGUGGCCCAACUCCAUGGCCACACCCCAUUCCAUGCCACUUCGGUCGCCGCCCUGGCGCACCUUCCGCAGCUCCAGUCCCUGGUCCCUGCCUCCUCCGCGUCUGCAUCUCCCUCGUCACCUCCAACGGCCCCGUCUUGCCCUGCCUCAGUCUCCGUGCAAUGGGAGCAUCUCCCCUACGACGAGGUCUCCAUGGUGGAGCUCCCCUGCAGCCUCGCAGUGGGUUCCCACGUGCUCAACUUGGUGGUGGAAAAGAACUUAUUACGGGGUCGUGAGAUUAUGCAAUGGGCAAAGGGUACUGGCAGGAUGAGGCUCCAAUGGAAGAGAGCUUUCCAUGCCCUUCUUUUUGCUUCAGUUCGGAUGCACCCCAACUGCUUGAUGUAUUGUCUAAACAAAAGGUUGAGUACCUAUGUUCUUGUUGUAUCUGUUUUUUUCAGGGCUAACCAAUACCAGUAUCCACAUUUUUUUUGAGCUAAUUCUAGGCCGUGAGAUUCGUCAGUAGACAACGGGCACUGCCAGGACGAGCCUACAAUGGAGGGAACUCACAUGUUUCAUGCCCUUCUUUUUUCCUUCUGACUUCAAUUCUGGUACACACCAUUUGCUUUAUGUAUUGCCCCUAAAAGGUUGAGCCUGUUUCAGCUGCUUUCUUUUUUCUUGCUAACUAAUACCAGCAACCACAUUUUCUUCAUGUGCAUAGUUCUCUUGAUUUCAGAGGUCUCUGUGCUUGACAGCUUGAGGUACAAAAGCAACAGUGCAACGUGGAAAGAAGGAUUGUAGCUAAAUCAACAGUGUGCUAAGUGGUAAUAUGUACAGAUGUAAUGGCAGGUGCCGUAACAUUAGUGUCCCACUGUCUCCCUUCCCUUGCAUUGUCAUGGAGGACAUAAAAGUCUCUUGGUGUGUGCAGGUCAGUUGCUACAUGUGUCAUGCACAAGCACGGAUUAUCUCCACAAAAGAGGUCAAUCCUCUCUGUAUGAAGUUACUGUACAACAAAAUAUCCUUAAACAGUUUCCUUGUUGUUACUACAAUCACCAAAGUCAAAUGGGAUCUACAUGGUGGUGCAAGAUGUGAUCCUGUCCAGUCCAGCAAUGAGAAGGUGAAAGUGUCAACCUGUGAAAAAUUAAUAUUGUUUUGUAUUUACAAUAUGUUGUGUCAAACCUAUAUAUCCCAGCCAAUAGAUUGCGAAUUAUUCAAAAGGUGCCUACACCUACCUCUUUUGAUCUGUCCACAGCUGCUGACAUGCUGCUCCGAUCUAGCUACAUAAAGAAAGGGUAUUUGGAAAACAAAAUACUUGAUUACUGUCUACAUUGCUCUUUUCAUAUAGCUCAAAUAAAUAAUCCAUUGAUUUCAUCCUAAUCCAGUGAACAUGUCACAUUUCAUUGCUGGAAUGGAUCUAACCAUUCUGUCAAUCUUGCAAAGCAUAUAUCAUCGAUGUGUUUGUGUUCUGGUUUUAGUAUAUCAGAGCAACUGCUGAUUUCCAAGAUGAAUCUGUUAUGAUUCUGCCAUUGUACUCGAGAAUUGUGAACAACCAUUUUUACCCAUGAUGACUGCUGCAUGCACUCCAACUGGUUCGUGGAUAGAAAGUCAUGUGCAUGCUUCAGGUAAAUUUCGUUGGUGAUGACAAUGGGUCAACUGAAGCAGAGCCACCAUGCUGAAGCAAUGGAUAGGUUAUUUUGGGAUGCAUCCCAUAAGCAUGCAUUUAAAUUCUUUAUCCUUUUCUAAAAUAGGGGACUUUUUAUUAUCCUACUGUGUGAUUGCAAUGGAUCUUAUGUCCGUUAAUGCUUUGUUGUGCAAGAAAGGGAGGAAAAGAGGUAAGCUGAUGUGCAUAACUCAAAUAGAGUAUGGGUGAGCCUGAAGAAAACUGAAAUCUUCUUUCAUCAGUUAUUGCCAAUUUAUAUUCCAACAAUGUAGCUCUUAUAGUUCACAUAUAAAAUGUCCUCAUGGGAAUUUCAUCAUAUGUAUUUGCCCCCUGGUUGCUGUAGUUUUGAAUUGUAUUUUUUUUUUUUGCCGCCGGUCAACUUAAAGUGUGAGUUCCUUACGUACAUUAGCAUUUCUAUUCCAGCCAGUAUCUUUCACUUUCAGUGAUUAGCUCACCACCAUAACUGAUGUGAUAAUGUUUACUGAAUAAAGAGCAUGGUAGCAUAUAA